CUACACCGCCCGUCACACCAUGGAGUUUGUUGCACCAGAAGCAGGUAGCUUAACCUUCGGGAGGGCGCUUGCCACGGUGUGGCCGAUGACUGGGGUG
rnacentral:rRNA from 1 species